rnacentral:rRNA from 1 species
UUGACCUCGGAUCAGGUAGGAAUACCCGCUGAACUUAAGCAUAUCAAUAAGCGGAGGAACCCCCCCAAACCCCCGGGGGGGGGGUUUCCCUUUUUUGCCCCCCCAGGAUAUUUGGCCCCGGGGGGGGUGGAACCCGCAGUCCCUGUGGGAAGCCGCGGGGGAAAAAACAGGAAU